GCCCGGCUGGCUCAGUCAGUGGAGCGUGCGACUCUUGAUCUCAGGGGUUGUGGGUUCGAGCCCCACACUGGGUG
rnacentral:tRNA from 1 species